rnacentral:rRNA from 1 species
UACGUAGGUGGCAAGCGUUGUCCGGAAUUAUUGGGCGUAAAGCGCGCGCAGGCGGUUUCUUAAGUCUGAUGUGAAAGCCCACGGCUCAACCGUGGAGGGUCAUUGGAAACUGGGGGACUUGAGUGCAGGAGAGAAGAGUGGAAUUCCACGUGUAGCGGUGAAAUUCGUAGAUAUUCGGAGGAACACCAGUGGCGAAGGCGGCUCACUGGUCCGGUACUGACGCUGAGGUGCGAAAGCGUGGGUAGCAAACAGG